GAAUGUAAACUGCCUAAAUGCUCUACUUAAAAGAUACACAAUGGCAGAAUGCAUAAAAAUCCACCAACCAUGUAUCUGUUGUCUUCAAGAGACUCACCUAACACAUAAGGAUUCACAUAAACUUACUGUAAAGGGGUGG